rnacentral:rRNA from 1 species
GACGAACGCUGGCGGCGCGCCUAACACAUGCAAGUCGAACGGAGCUGAGAGAAGCUUGCUUUUCUUAGCUUAGUGGCGAACGGGUGAGUAACGCGUGAGUAACCUGCCCUGGAGUGGGGGACAACAGUUGGAAACGACUGCUAAUACCGCAUAAGCCCACGAUCCGGCAUCGGCAUGAGGGAAAAGGAUUUAUUCGCUUCAGGAUGGACUCGCGUCCAAUUAGCUAGUUGGUGAGGUAACGGCCCACCAAGGCGACGAUUGGUAGCCGGACUGAGAGGUUGAACGGCCACAUUGGGACUGAGACACGGCCCAGACUCCUACGGGAGGCAGCAGUGGGGGAUAUCGCACAAUGGGGGAAACCCUGAUGCAGCGACGCCGCGUGGAGGAAGAAGGUUGUCGGAUUGUAAACUCCUGUCGUUAGGGACGAUAAUGACGGUACCUAACAAGAAAGCACCGGCUAACUACGUG